rnacentral:misc_RNA from 1 species
UCACGUUUUACACGUUCAACAACCGCGGACUGUCUUUUCCUGGUGCUCAGCUACUACCGUGUCGGCGAAUGCCUGCGGGCAAACGGGGCUCGGUGAUGUGGUUGACAAAUGAAGCGCUUUCCGGGAUUUCGGGCUUCAUUGCACCGGGUGUUUUCACGCAAAUCCGAAUCAACCCCUUUAACAACAACUGUUAUUUGUUUGAACUGAUCCGUUCUUUCUUUGUCGAAAGACAAAGACGAACAAUUAUUUAAAUUUUCGUA